AGAAAGGUUCCGCGAUAGCGGGAGAAAGGGUGCCAGGGCGACUCACUGCGCCUGUGUGCGGGCGCGAGCGGUCAAAGCGCUUUCCGGAGGCCGCCGAAGUGCUCUCGUUUCCCGGUCUGUCGCUUUUGGAGUGCCCCGAGCGAGAUUUAGAGAGGUCUACACCACCGGAGCGGUGUUUUUCUACACUCUGACUCCUCUUGGUGCCCCGCCACUCCGGCGCUUGCCCUUUGACCCCGCUGUGGCGGUGGGGUGAGAGGUCGGUGGCCAUCUUGUGGAGGCGGCGCGGGCGGCUGUUACUGCGGAGACCCAUCCCCUCCCCCUCCUGGCACCCCCGCUGUCUCUCAGUCUGUAAAGAGUCGUGCAGGCCGUCAGGUGAGGCCCCGGCCUCGUGCCGUCACUCUUCCCGCCGCUCUGGGCGGCCUAGGCCGCUCCUUGCCGGGCCUCACCGCCGCCACCAUGUCCUCCUUCUCCGAGUCUGCGUUAGAGAAGAAGCUCUCGGAGCUGAGCAACUCUCAGCAGAGCGUGCAGACCCUCUCCCUGUGGCUCAUCCACCACCGCAAGCACGCAGGACCCAUCGUCUCAGUGUGGCACCGUGAGCUCCGCAAAGCCAAAUCAAAUAGAAAGCUUACUUUUCUGUACUUAGCCAACGAUGUCAUCCAGAACAGUAAAAGGAAAGGACCUGAAUUCACUAGAGAAUUUGAAUCUGUCCUUGUGGAUGCUUUUUCUCAUGUUGCCAGAGAGGCAGAUGAAGGCUGUAAAAAACCUUUAGAAAGAUUGCUGAACAUCUGGCAAGAAAGAAGUGUGUAUGGCGGCGAGUUCAUACAGCAGCUGAAGCUGUCUAUGGAGGACUCCAAGAGCCCUCCCCCCAAAGCAACGGAGGAGAAGAAAUCUCUGAAGCGAACUUUUCAGCAGAUACAAGAGGAAGAGGAUGACGACUAUCCUGGAAGCUACUCUCCCCAAGAUCCUUCUGCAGGACCCCUCUUGACCGAAGAACUAAUCAAGGCUUUGCAGGACCUGGAAAAUGCUGCAUCAGGGGAUGCUACUGUCCGACAGAAAAUUGCUUCUUUACCCCAGGAAGUACAAGACGUUUCUCUUUUGGAAAAAAUAACAGACAAAGAGGCAGCUGAACGUCUUUCAAAAACAGUAGAUGAAGCGUGUCUGUUACUAGCUGAAUAUAACGGGCGCCUGGCGGCAGAACUGGAAGACCGACGCCAGCUGGCUCGGAUGUUGGUGGAAUACACCCAGAACCAGAAAGAUGUUUUGUCAGAAAAGGAGAAAAAACUAGAACAUCUUACUCAGCAGCUCCAGCCCUGCUGUGACACCCAGAAUGUAUCAUUUUGAAAUGUCGCAGCUGCCACUAAGUCAUAUGGAGCAUGGAGCUGGCUGGGAGAGAGGUACAGGAGUAUAAACAGAAGCUUGCUCGGGUAACCCAGGUCCGCAAGGAGCUGAAGUCCCAUAUUCAGAGUUUGCCAGACCUCUCCUUGCUGCCCAACGUCACAGGGGGCUUGGCCCCCCUGCCCUCUGCUGGUGACCUGUUUUCAACUGACUAGGGCAGGUGUUGUGCCCCAGAUUCCCAUCUCUACCAGCAGAACGAAGAGGGAAAGUCAUGGUUGGAAGUAACCUAGUAGCCCCCGAUUCUGUCCCUCCUUCCACUUGGCCCCCCCCAGCCUCAAGAAAGAACCACAGACUGACUCCUCUCCGGCCUCUUCUAUUGAGCACAAUUCAGAACAGUGGCGAGUGGAAUCCAAUUUAGAUUUACAUUUGGAAAGAAUACAAACUGUGACACUUCAUGUUUCCAUGCCCCUGUUGGUUUCCAUUCUUAGCUCUCUCUUUACACCUAAGAAGUUACGAAAAUCAUGUGUACUCCUGUAAGCUUUCAGAAGAAUCUUAUCCCUCAUGACAGCAUUGUGUUGUGAAAGCAGCUUCUCCUUUCUGAGCUGGGCUUGUUCAAGUUCAGUACAAGCUUCCACUGAGGGGCUCAGUCUGGAGUCGUUGGCUUUCCUGGCUGCCGUUCACCCCAGAGGUUGGAGGCACGACUGUGGAACAGCUUCGCCAUAAAGAGUUUGCCAAAUCUCUGAGUCUCUCUUCCCAUGCGUGGCUUCUAGCAGUGCGCCGUCAGAGGUCAGGUGCAUUUGUUCUCUGAGCAGACUAGAGACUCUAGCAGUAAGAUUCAAAGCUGAUCUGGGACAUGAAGUCCCAGUUCAGAGACAGACUAACGGGGAUAAGUUAUUUGCUCUAGGUUCCCACCAGUAACCUUUCCAGGCUGCACUUCUCAACAGUCCCACUGCCAGAGAGCAUGUUCCUAGAAACAUGAUCUUUGCUUCAAUUGGUUGUGAAGGUAGGUGUUAGAAAUGGCACUGGUGGACCCCAAAAUCUAUAGGCAUACUGGGCAUCUGGGCUCUGCCUGGAAAUUGUUUUGAGCCUUUAUUUUGGGGAGUAGGGCACACACUAACAUUUAAUGCACUGCGUGGGUACAUGUGCACAGCAUGGUGACUGAGCUUGAAUAUCUCCCCUGCAGAUGUGACACGCUGUGCAUGUUUGUCUGUCUUUCAGUUCACACCACUGCACGUGUCCAUAUGCCCCCAGGAGGAGGCAUACUUUGCAUCGGAUGUUAUUGAAUAGCUCAUCUCUGGAAGGGGGAAAGUGAGGGUAUUAAUUGGGGAUUUUAAUUCCAUUAUCAUGCCAGCUGACAUUAUGACUAUAUAAUGUAGUUAGAAUUUUUAUCUUGCUUUUAGUAAAGAUUAGGUCUGCUGACUGUAAAUCAUUCUAAUUUGGCAGGCUUAUUUUUGACAUUGGAAAGGGCAGAAAACAAUUUGCCCCAAUAGUGUAAUAGGAAGUAUAGCCCAGAGGCUGAAAUCCAAAAGCUGUAAAAAGGAAUUCAGUGGAGGGGGCUUCAGAAUCCCCAUUAUUUUGAGUUGCUGUAUUCAGGAUUACCAAAAAUCCAAUUACAUGUAAUUUUACAUGUUCAGCGUGUUAGAACAUAACCUCUGUUUUAAAAAGCGUAACAGGCUUCCCGUCAAGAAGCUCUCCUGCCUGCCAUGAAGUAAAAAUGAUGAAAAGUCAUAGCAGGUAUGCAGUUUAACUGUGUAGAAUCUAGUAGCAUUUAAGCUAUUUUUCAGAUUGAAUAUGGACUGUGUGUUUGCAUAUUGACACUGCCUGUUGUCCUGUAAUUAUUAAAUUAAUGCGUCUAUAUAGUUGUUCUCCCAGAGGCUGUAGGGCAGUAAAUUACCAAAACUGCGAAAUAAAUUCCAGUCUUUGCUGUUUCUGCACAUAAGCCCCCUCCCCACAUGAUGUGCUGCUUUAGUCCUGCAUAUGAGCUUGCUUCUCAACAGACCCAUCUUGGACAUUCUCUAUGCUUUCUUUUACCAGGGAAGCCAAAUCCAGCCAUAAACCACCAAAAAGGUGUGGUAGACAUUUGCUCUGAUCAGCUAGAUGAAAGUGUUACAGUGGAUUUCGCUCACUGCUGUGUUUUAUCUGAUUGAGUCUUUGACCAGCAAUUGGUGCAUAAUUAUUAUAGCAAGAGCAAGAAAUGAAACCGUAGCAAUUAUGUAAAUGAAUGUGUUGGCCUCGUAACACCUGUUACUAGUAGACUUCCUGUGAGGAAGUUAGUUCUUUUUUUUGUUUGUUUUUCAAUGAAAUGCUUUUGUUUUGAAUCUUAAUUCUCCAGCAUCCUCCCCAAGUGUGCUUAUUACUUCAUUUGUUUAAUUUAAAUGACCCUUUCUCCUUGUAUGUAUGAGGUGAUCUGGCGGGGUGGGGUAGGUGGUUGUUUUGUGUUUUCCUUACCUAUAGGGCAUCCAUCGGCCUCAGAGACCUUUCCUUUAGGUCAUAUUCCUCAGAAAGUCUUCAAUCUUCUUUUUGUUUUUUGUUUUUGUUUUUUUUCUUAAAGAAUAUUUUUAAAGCUUAAAUUUGUAUAUUAAUUUAGGACUUUAUUUAGAAGUAUAGGCUGCCAUUGGUGGUAGCAGUAUAUUCUGAAAUGUCUCAUAGAUAUAUAUUUUUGAAUAAAGAUGGUGUGUUGAACGAUA